rnacentral:piRNA from 1 species
UCAAAAGUCUUGCUAAAGGAA